rnacentral:rRNA from 1 species
AUGGCUCGCAUGGCAGUGUUGGGACUGGCGAUCCUGCUCGCCGCCUCGUGUGCCCUGGCGGCGGCGAGCUUCGACAAGGAGUUCGACAUCACCUGGGGUGACGGGCGCGGCAAGAUCCUCAACAACGGCCAGCUCCUGACGCUGGGGCUGGACAAGGUCUCCGGCUCCGGCUUCCAGUCCAAGCACGAGUACCUCUUCGGCAAGAUCGACAUGCAGCUCAAGCUCGUCCCCGGCAACUCUGCCGGCACCGUCACCGCCUACUACCUGUCGUCGCAGGGUCCGACGCACGACGAGAUCGACUUCGAGUUCCUUGGCAACGUCACCGGCGAGCCCUACACGCUGCACACCAACGUGUUCACGCAGGGGCAGGGCCAGCGGGAGCAGCAGUUCCGCCUCUGGUUCGAUCCCACCAACGACUUCCACACCUACUCCAUCCUCUGGAACCCCAAGCACAUCAUAUUCAUGGUGGACGACAUGCCGAUCAGGGACUUCAGGAACCUGGAGGGAAAGGGGAUCGCGUUCCCAAAGAACCAGCCCAUGCGGCUCUACUCCAGCCUCUGGAACGCCGACGACUGGGCCACGCAGGGCGGCCGCGUCAAGACGGACUGGUCCCACGCCCCAUUUUCCGCCUCCUACCGCGGCUUCAAGGCCGACGCGUGCGUGGUGACCGCCGCCGGCCGGCCUCACUGCGGCGCCAGCGUCGGCACGGACGUUGCCCCCGGCACAGGCGCGGCGGGCGAGUGGUACAACCAGGAGCUGGACCUGACACGGCAGCAACGGAUGCGGUGGGUGCAGAGGAACUACAUGAUCUACAACUACUGCACCGACCCCAAACGCGUCGCCCAGGGCGUCCCCGCCGAGUGCUCCAUGUAG